GCUCUCGCUAAGCCACAGAAUAGGAAGUUAUACCAGAAGCGUAACUCUAGUCGUUUCCCUUAUUGUUUGACGUCCACGAAAAUUUUAACUUGCUCACGUCAGGCCACGCCAUCCUGGCUAGUACAGCCGGAAGUUUUUAUCAGGAUUUGGUAGGUACAAAGUGCCGGUUGUACUAGCCAGGAUGGCGUGAUUGAUGACGAAUCG